rnacentral:rRNA from 1 species
AUUGAACGCUGGCGGCAUGCCUUACACAUGCAAGUCGAACGGUAACGGGCCUUCGGGUGCCGGCGGGUGGCGGACGGGCGGGUAAUACAUCGGACCGUACCCGACCGUGGGGGAGAACGAGGCGAAAGAAUUGCUAAUUACUCCCACAAACUACCGACGAAAGCAGGGGGCCGACCGGCCUUCCUCGGCCGGAGCGGCCGAUGGCUGAUUAGGUAGUUGGUGGGAUAAAGGCUUACCAAGCCGACGAUCUGUAGCUGGUCUGAGAGGAUGAUCAGCCACACUGGGACUGAGACACGGCCCAGACUCCUACGGGAGGCAGCAGUGGGGAAUUUUGGACAAUGGGCGCAAGCCUGAUCCAGCAAUGCCGCGUGUAGGAAGAAGGCCUUCGGGUUGUAAACUGCUUUUGUACGGAACGAAAAGCCUUCUUCUAAUACGGGCGGGGCAUGACGGUACCGGAAGAAUAAGCACCGGCUAACUACGUG